rnacentral:rRNA from 1 species
UACGUAGGGAGCGAGCGUUGUCCGGAAUUACUGGGCGUAAAGGGCGCGUAGGCGGGUAUUUAAGUCAGAUGUGAAAGCUCCGGGCUUAACUUGGAGAGUGCAUUUGAAACUGGAUAUCUUGAGGGCAGGAGAGGAAAGUGGAAUUCCUAGUGUAGCGGUGGAAUGCGUAGAUAUUAGGAGGAACACCAGUGGCGAAGGCGACUUUCUGGACUGUACCUGACGCUGAGGCGCGAAAGCAUGGGGAGCAAACGGGAUUAGAUACCCCGGUAGUCCAUGCCGUAAACGAUGAAUACUAGGUGUAGGAGGUAUCGACCCCUUCUGUGCCGCAGUUAACACAAUAAGUAUUCCGCCUGGGGAGUACGGCCGCAAGGUUGAA